GUGUCAGCCGCCGCGGUAAUACGUAGGGUGCGAGCGUUAAUCGGAAUUACUGGGCGUAAAGCGUGCGCAGGCGGUUUCGUAAGACAGACGUGAAAUCCCCGGGCUCAACCUGGGAAAUGCGUUUGUGACUGCGAGGCUAGAGUACGGCAGAGGGGGGUAGAAUUCCACGUGUAGCGGUUAAAUGCGUAGAGAUGUGGAGGAAUACCGAUGGCGAAGACAGCCCCCUGGGUUAGUAGUGACGCUCAUGCUCGAAAGCGUGGGGAGCAAACAGGAUUAGAUACCCUGGUAGUCCACGCCCUAAACGAUGUAGACUAGGUGUUGGAGGGGUUAACCCUUUUAGUACCGCAGCUAACGCGUGAAGUUGACCGCCUGGGGAGUACGGCCGCAAGGUUAAAACUUAAAUGAAUUGACGG
rnacentral:rRNA from 1 species